AUUGUACUCCCUCCGUCCGAAAAUACUUGUCAUCAAAAUGGAUAAAAAAAGAUGUAUCUAGAACUAAAAUACAUCUAGAUACGUUCCUUUUUAUCCAUUUUGAUGACAAGUAUUUUCGGACGGAGGGAGUACAUA
rfam:Triticum aestivum genome assembly, contig: Triticum_aestivum_CS42_TGACv1_scaffold_288157_4AL